CCCUUAGAUGUUCGGGGCCGCACGCGCGCUACACUGAAGGAAUCAGCACGUCUUUCUCCUUGUCCGAAAGGACUGGGUAACCCGCUGAACCUCCUUCGUGCUAGGGAUUGGGGCUUGUAAUUCUUCCCCAUGAACGAGGAAUUCCCAGUAAGCGCGAGUCAUAAGCUCGCGUUGAUUACGUCCCUGCCCUUUGUACACACCGCCCGUCGCUACUACCGAUUGGAUGGUUUAGUGAGAUCCUCGGAUUGAUCCCGGAGCGGCCUCUGGUCGUGCCGGAGUGCCGAAAAGAAUGUCGAACUUGAUCAUCUAGAGGAAGUAAAAGUCGUAACA
rnacentral:rRNA from 1 species